GACGAACGCUGGCGGCGUGCUUAACACAUGCAAGUCGAACGGAAAGGCCCUGCUUUUGUGGGGUGCUCGAGUGGCGAACGGGUGAGUAACACGUGAGUAACCUGCCCUUGACUUUGGGAUAACUUCAGGAAACUGGGGCUCAUACCGGAUAGGAGCUCCUGCUGCAUGUUGGGGGUUGGAAAGUUUCGGCGGUUGGGGAUGGACUCGCGGCUUAUCAGCUUGUUGGUGGGGUAGUGGCUUACCAAGGCUUUGACGGGUAGCCGGCCUGAGAGGGUGACCGGCCACAUGGGGACUGAGAUACGGCCCAGACUCCUACGGGAGGCAGCAGUGGAGAAUAUUGCACAAUGGGCGGAAGCCUGAUGCAGCAACGCCGCGUGCGGGAUGACGGCCUUCGGGUUGUAAACCGCUUUCGCCUGUGACGAAGCGUGAGUGACGGUAAUGGGUAAAGAAGCAACGGCUAACUACGUG
rnacentral:rRNA from 1 species